AUGGAAUUUACAGAGCAAAAAGGGAAACAGGGACUCUCUGCAAAGCCAAGUUCCGGAUCCAGUGGCUUCCCACCUCACAGAUUGAAUCCCAGGUUCCAGCCAGGAAGAGGAGGGGCCAGGAUUCUCCCGGCUGCAAAUGCGAAACUUCCCCAGGCUCCACCCCAGCGUGCAGGUGACACAAGUGCACACCUGAGCUCCGAUCAAACACCCUGAUGAUGUGAGCAGGACACAGUGCCUGAGAUGGAGACUGGGAGACCUGAGCGGGAUACCCUGAGCCUUCUGCACACCGCUGGGCCAGGCACCCUUCACCUGUCAAGUGACAGGAUGGGACAGAAUGACGCAUACUUUCUAACUCCAUGAUUUUUUUAUUUUCUCCUGUGAUGAAGAUGGUCCAUCACCGAAAGAGCAAGAGCAUGGGAAUACCUGUUGCCCUCCAGGUGGGACACGGACAGCCAACUGCAUUGCCCCAGGAUGACGCCCUCAGGCUUAUUCACUUCAUUAGUGGCAGAAUUAUUAAGAAGCUGCAACUUUCAAGCAACUGAGUUAUUUUAGCAUUUAAUCAUCUUACUCGUGAAGAUAUAGCCAGGUGAGAUAUUCUUGUGUUUUAUUAUUUAUGUAUUUAUUCAUUCAUUCAUUCAUUUUGAGACAAAGUCUUACUCUGUCACCCAGGCUGGAGUGCAGUGGUGUGAUCACAGCUUACUGCAGCCUCAACCUCCUGGACUCAAGCAAUCUUCCUGCCUCAGCCUGGCAAGUAGUCGGGACUACAAGUGUGUGCCACCAUGCCUGGCUGAUUUGUUCCACCUCGAACUGCCUAGUUUGAAACUCCUGACCUUCAACGGUCUUCUGGCCUCAGCCUCCCUCCCAAAGUGCUGGGAUUACAGAUGUGAGCCACUGGGGAGGGCCAAUUCAUAUUUUAGAUUGAGAGGAUGGAAGAUGAUUGAGAAGACUGAAGAGGACAGUUCUCUUUGAGAGGUUUACCUGUACCAAGGCCUGUACAAUUCCACUCAGGGGUUGACCAAGGGCAUUCAUGUUAUUUCACUAGAAUUGAAUGGCAGGCUUAUUCACAGAAAACCCCAAAUGUGUAAGGAGAGGCCAGCUCUGCAGAAUUAAGUUUUAUGGAUGACUAUAUAUAUGUCACUUUCAUGUUCACGAACAUAAAGCAAGAAUUUCAGAACCCUCCGAGUCACUGAAUGGUGUGCUCAGGGCUCUGGCUAACACUCUUCUGAAAACAAAAUAAACACAGGUCAGCAAAGAUGAUUUAGAAACUC
rnacentral:lncRNA from 13 species